ensembl:lncRNA
CCGCCCCCCCAACACACACACUGCGUUGUCCUUUGCCUGGCUGUGUCUCUCGGCCUCUGUCUCUGCCCCCGCACCCACAGGCGGACGCCACACGCACACACCCAUGCCGCCCACACGGCCCCCCGUGGCAGCUAUACACCACACACCUACCCCCCCCCCCCAUACACACACACACACACACACACACACACACACACGGCCGCACACUCUCCACCCACGCAACACCACCUGGGCAUGUCACAGACACGCCACACAUGCCUCACCCCCCCCCCCACCCCGCCCCACUCUGUGUGUUCCUGUCCCCUCUUUUUCUCCUUCCUUCCUCUGUCGUCGUCCCUCUGCCUCUCGCUCCCCUCCCUCCACCUUCACAGGACAGAGUGCCUUUAAGAUGAGUCUGCCUGUUUUAAACACACCCUGGACAUGAUGAUUGCUACAGUCUGGCCUGUCGCGCCUGUAACCUGGGGUGGCGGGGGGUUGUCAAACGUCCUUGGUACGCUAGGGAUAGCUUUCUCUGUGGAAGGGCAGGACGGUCCACUUAGGAGGGCUGGUUGAACAUGGACACAUAAACUGUACAUCCAAAGAAUCCACAAGCACCUACUAUAUACUAUGCCAGCACGGGAAAGUAGACGUAUGAUGUUGCAUGAACCUCUCCAAGGGAAAAGACUGAACACCUGAAACGAACACGACUUUGGAAACCCACCCUGGGCUUCAUUUCUGCCGUGAGGGUGCUGUCGUGUGCAUAUCUGAGGGGAUGGAUGUGUCUCCCGGCCAUCUUCAUUCCAGCUUGUGCUUCAUCCAGCCCAGCGCUCCUCAUGAUGUGUACUCAGCGUGUACGUUCAAUAAGCAGGGUGACGAUAGACAGCCUUGAUGGACUCCUUUCCCUUAUUUGGAACCAGCCUGUUGGGUUCUAUGUCUAGUUUUCACUGUUGCUUCCUGACCUGCAGAAAUACAGAGUCCUCUUUUUUUUUUUUUUUUAAAUUCCCUAACCUGAGUGAAAAGCGAGAGAGACAGAGAGAAGACAGAUGGAGGGACGGGCGGGCGGACAGGCAGGCAGGCAGGCAGGAAAAAGAAAGAAAGAAAGAAAGAAAGAAAGAAAGAAAGAAAGAAAGAAAGAAAGAAAGAAAGAAAGAAAAUAAUGAAAGGACCUACCGUUCCACCUGUUGCUUUCCAGAUACAAAGGGAAAAACAAAGGACCGAAAAGGACACGAGGUUUAAAAUGGGAAUUUGGAAAGAUGGACAUCCCCUUGGUCGCUUCAUACAGCACCCCUCUCAGCAGAAGGGAAUCGUCUCUCUUUUUCUCUCGACCUGGUCCUUCCAGACUUCAGAAACUCUCCGUGGAGGAUUCUUAUCUCCUUGGCCAGAGUGAUUGCCACACGUUCCUUAGGGGCCCAGAGGAUGUUUCCGUGAAACGGGGGUACACACUUCCGGAUAGGAGAGUCGUGUCCUAUAUGUGUGUGUGUGUGUGUGUGUGUGUGUGUGUUGCUUUGCGUGUGGUUCUUCACCCGAGAGGGGGACUGGAGCCUGAAGUGUUCCGAGCUGCCUCCGCUAUCAAACAACCCUCUCUCGGGGGGGGAGGGACCAACGUCCCAUGUUCUCUUGCCCUUCUGACGGAGAACUCAAAAGGCCCUGUGCCUGAAGCCCUGCGGAUGGAAGCUAGAGGACUUGGUGAAUGUUUCUGACGGAGCUUCCCUGGUGGCUCACACGGUCAAGAGUCUGCCUGCGAUGCAGGAGACCCGGGUUCCAUCCCCGGGCCAGGAAGGCCUCCUGGAGAAGGACAUGGCAACCCGCUCCAGGGCCCGACCCUGACGUCUAAAAGUCAACCUCCUAGACUGCCUCUCCCUCUGCCGACUGGUUUCUCGAAUCCGCUCCAGGGAUGAACCUGUGUGUUUUCCUUGGUUUCCCUACAAGUGCCUCUGAGGGAAAAAAAAAAAAAAACAAUUGGAACAGGAACAC